rnacentral:rRNA from 1 species
UUGAACGCUGGCGGCAUGCUUUACACAUGCAAGUCGAACGGCAGCGCGGGCUUCGGCCUGGCGGCGAGUGGCGAACGGGUGAGUAAUGCAUCGGAACGUGCCCAGUAGUGGGGGAUAGCCCGGCGAAAGCCGGAUUAAUACCGCAUACGGCCUGAGGGUGAAAGCGGGGGACCGAAAGGCCUCGCGCUAUUGGAGCGGCCGAUGUCGGAUUAGCUAGUUGGUGGGGUAAAGGCUUACCAAGGCGACGAUCCGUAGCUGGUCUGAGAGGACGACCAGCCACACUGGGACUGAGACACGGCCCAGACUCCUACGGGAGGCAGCAGUGGGGAAUUUUGGACAAUGGGGGCAACCCUGAUCCAGCCAUGCCGCGUGCGGGAAGAAGGCCUUCGGGUUGUAAACCGCUUUUGUUCGGGAAGAAAUCCUCUGGGCUAAUACCCCGGGGGGAUGACGGUACCGGAAGAAUAAGCACCGGCUAACUACGUG